GAUCCUGGCUCAGGACGAACGCUGGCGGCGUGCCUAACACAUGCAAGUCGAACGGAAGUUAGAGCUUCGGUUUUAACUUUAGUGGCGAACGGGUGAGUAACGCGUGAGGAACCUGCCUUUCAGUGGGGGACAACAGUCGGAAACGACUGCUAAUACCGCAUGAUACUUUUGGGAGACAUCUCCUGAAAGUCAAAGCUUUAUGUGCUGAAAGAUGGUCUCGCGUCUGAUUAGCUAGUUGGUGAGGUAACGG
rnacentral:rRNA from 1 species